rnacentral:lncRNA from 1 species
GGCUGAUAAAAAAAAAAGAAAAAAAUUAAAUUAAUCAAAACAUAAUAUGUAUCAGGCAUAAUAUGCAUGCGUCUUUAAUCUUCACAAAACCAACAGGGUAUUAUUAUUACUGCUACUCUUAUUAUGGUUGUUCUAAUGAUUACUAGUGGGAAACUACAAAUUACAUAGAUUACAUAACUUGCCCAAAUUAUCAAAGUUAGAAGUAAAUGGUUAAGUAUCCAGUUUGUUACUUGCUAUUUUCCAGAAGUAACACUCUUAAUCACUAUGUUGAUUCAAAUAAGCCUAAGAAGAGAAAUGGCUUCCUCCCAUGUUGAAGGGUGUAAAUCAGGGGAGCAAAGUCAGGCAAGAUCGUCUCACUUCAGGAAAACAAUGUUUCCAACUGUUUGCCCACAGUCAUGCAAAUUUUCAAGUCUUUCAAACAGUGCUAGUAGUGAAGCAAAAAGUAGUAUAAUUAUAAGUGUGAUCCCUGUAAAUCUACCAAAAGGUCAUCAAUUUAGAUUUGAUGAAAUCUCAAUGUGCUUGUGGGCAUUUUCGUGUUUUCCAUGCAUUUGCCCAAAUUCGCUAAUAUGCCUAAUAGCCUUUAUCAACCCAAAUCAUGACUGAUAAUAGUUAUUUUUACCAUUUGUGAGCACAUCUAAUUUAAAGUCUGUAAUUAACAAAGCAAGUGUAGUAAGUAUAUGACAUAAUGAUGUAGUAUCUUUAACAAUUAUGUUCUCUUGGGGGUAAGUAUGGCAAAUAAGCUUACACAGAGAUUUUCCCAUGAAAACAAAGUUUAUUUAAACAUAGUAAGAGGAAAAUAAUCAUCCCUCUUUUUUGUCACUAAAAUUGAAACAGAAUGUAGUGGAUGCUAGGUACUACAUUAAUGUGUAAAUUAUACAGAAUAUUCUCAUCUCCUCUUUCUGCCCACUAAUAGGAUUUAUAAGGCAGUGAUAGCCAUCAUGUAUUAGAGAUGCGAUGCACAUAAAUGUUCCCCAUUUUUUUUUCUGUCAACUCUUGAGAGUGACCCAUGCCAUUAGGUAAUGGGCAGCUUUCUUGUUACAUGCGCUUCACAGAGUGGAUGAUGUGACUAAGUGGAGAACUGCACUCCCCAACUGGGACUAAUGUAUAGAGGAGCUAUUGGAAGUAAAAAUCAAACACAGGAGUCUUUCUCCAUCAAGAGAAAAAUAGCAGUUUGAUGAAUUAUGGGAAUCACAAGUUACCUCUAUAUCAGUUUCUCAAUUUGACACUUUUACUAAUAUUUUUGGUCAGGAAGCUCUUUGUGGUGGAGGACUUUCCUGUGCCUUGCAUAAUGUUUAGCAGCAUCUCUGGACUUGACUCACUACAUGCCAGUGGUACCACUGCAGUUGCGAUGAUGAAAAAUGUUUCCAGACUGCGAAAUGUGCCCUGGUGGGGCAGGAGGAUGAACUUAUUCCUGGCUGAGAACCAUUGCCUAAUAUAAAAUGCCCCAAAUCAUAGUAAUGCUUAUAAUAUAUUUACUUACAAUUUUGCCUCAUUUAUUAAUUAGCAUCAUUACCCAAUCAGGUGAUAAGGACCUUUUGAAUAUUUAUGGGAUGUAUUUUGUAGGUAAAUAGGAUGGAAUUAGUCAACAUAAUAUAUGCCAACUAUAUCAGGCUCAAUAUGGAAAUUAUGCCAUACAAAAUUAUGACAUACCCAUUUAAUUUAAUACAAUACUUUUGAGAAUUUUUUCUUUCUGUAUAAAAAUAGUCUUCACAUAGGUAGAUUAGAUGAUAUAUGUACAAGAAGUGAGGGAACAACAAAAAUAAAAGAUAAGCGUUCGAAAGAAUAUGGUACAAAGGAAAAAGAAAAA